rnacentral:rRNA from 1 species
GGGGCGCAGCUGAUGCAGCAACGCCGCGUGCGGGAAGACAGCCCUAGGGUUGUAAACCGCUUUCAGUAGGGAAGAAAAUGACGGUACCUACAGAAGAAGGUGCGGCCAACUACCGUGCCAGCAGCCGCGGUGACACGUAGGCACCAAGCGUUAUCCGGAUUUAUUGGGCGUAAAGAGCUCGUAGGCGGUUUGGUAAGUCGGGUGCUGAAAACUCAGGGCUUAACCCUGAGACGCCACCCGAUACUGCCAUGACUUGAUGUACGGGAGGGGAGCGGGGAACUCCUGGUGUAGACGAGUGAAAUGCGCAGAUAUCAGGAAGAACACCGGUGGCGAAGGCGCCGCUCUGGGCCGUAACUGACGCUGAGGAGCGAAAGCGUGGGUAGCAAACAGGAUUAGAUACCCUGGUAGUCCACGCCGUAAACGUUGGGCACUAGGUGUGGGUCUCAACUAACGAGAUCCGCGCCGUAGCUAACGUCAUUAAGUGCCCCGCCUGGGGAGUACGGUCGCAAGACUAACAACUCAAAUAAAAUUUGACGGGGCUGAAACUCAAAGGAAUUGACGGA